UAGAAGGGUUUCCAUCAUGUGUAAAUGAUGAUCAGUUGAUUGAGAGAAUGGCUGGGUGGAAUGGUGAUCAAUACAUUCCAGAGGCAUAAUAUUUUACCGAAUGGGACAGUUGGCUAUAAACAUUGGCUGACAUCCUG
rnacentral:snRNA from 1 species